CAGAGGCAUCCAAUGGCUGAACAAGGCUGGUUAGACCACCAGCAUUCACUGCAAUAAUGCUGUUUUGCGACCUAACUUCAGCAACAUCAACAAGGUGUGAUCUGAACACGUCCCAGAUGAGAAAACUUUUUUCGUUAUGUCAACAUCCUGGUCAGAAACUCCAAACUUUCCUCAGCCAUCCAUCCUUUAUCGUGAACAUGGACGCUACUCCUUUGGGUGAAGGUUUGGAUGGAUCCUCGAGAAACAGAGUCCAUUCUGGCAAUACUCAUCAACACAUUUUUCAACUUCGUCUUCCAAAUGUGGCCACAUGUUAAGCUUUGCUCUAUUUGUGCAUUUAUUCUUGGGUAUCUGCCAAAGCUGGGUAGAAAGCUUUUUUCCAAUCUAUAACGUUGUUCUCUGAUAUCUUGAAUUCUCUACCUGCUGCAUAAUUAUUUGUCUGCUUUGCAAACUCAACGACUUUUAAGUUUGAACAGUGCUGUGUAUUUACCAUUACUUCUUGAUACCCUGUCGUCAAAUUAGGGGGCGGGAUGGCAGCACACACCAGUAAGGUGGUAGCCUUGACAUCAUGUCUUGACAUGCGCAGACAUGAGGAGCUGAACAGCUGCCUUCAAUGGUGUCUAUUCUAUGAUUCUAUCAAAUAGGUUUGCACCAGGAGCGAGUUUGACUUAAGCCGCAAGAGGGUGUAUGUACGGAGAGUUUGGAUUUUUUAGCUAAAAGUCGGGGGUCAAACUUAUACAUGAGGUAUAUAAAAUUGAAUGACCUUUUGGCCAAAAGUCGAAGUGUCGACUUUUCCAUGACAUCAUCCAUUACUUGAAUGUAAAUGGUAUACAAAUUAGCCCUUUAAGCAAUGUUCUUUAAUAUGACAAUUUCACAUGCUAUUAUGCUUCAAUAAAUCUUACUGACGGCA